GUUCUGCCAGUCAAUACACAAUGAGUGUUUUCUGCAUUUUAAUGGAUUCUUUUUAGUGUUUUCUGCAUUUUAAUGGAUUGGUUUUAUUGCAAAAGAAGUGAGGUUUUAGAAAAUGAAGAAAAUGAGAAAAGGAUAUAAAGAUCUUUUGCAGAUCCCCUCAGGCCUUCUCCAGGUUGAACAGUCCUAACUCUUCAAGCUUUCCUCAUUGACGAGAUGCUCCAUUCCCUUAAUCAUCCUUGUGGUCCUUCAUUUGACUCUGUCCAAUAUGUCUCUCUUGUACUGGGGAACACAGAAUUGGACACAGGACUCCAGGCGUUGCCUUACCAGUAGCCAAGGAUCUCCUUAUAGUCCUUCCUGCUGUGCUGACAGCAAAGACUUUAAAACUGACAUCAAAAUAUUGAAAGAAUGAGGAAGAUUAGUAUGUUCUCUGAGUAACAUUUCUCACAGUGCAGAAGGUCAAA